UGAGGAAUAUUGGUCAAUGGGCGAGAGCCUGAACCAGCCAAGUAGCGUGCAGGAUGACGGCCCUAUGGGUUGUAAACUGCUUUUAUGUGGGGAUAAAGUGCGUGACGUGUCAUGCAUUGCAGGUACCACAUGAAUAAGGACCGGCUAAUUCCGUGCCAGCAGCCGCGGUAAUACGGAAGGUCCGGGCGUUAUCCGGAUUUAUUGGGUUUAAAGGGAGCGUAGGCUGUCUAUUAAGCGUGUUGUGAAAUUUACCGGCUCAACCGGUGGCUUGCAGCGCGAGCUGGUCGACUUGAGUAUGCAGGAAGUAGGCGGAAUUCAUGGUGUAGCGGUGAAAUGCUUAGAUAUCAUGACGAACUCCGAUUGCGCAGGCAGCUUACUGUAGCAUAACUGACGCUGAUGCUCGAAAGUGCGGGUAUCAAACAGG
rnacentral:rRNA from 1 species